UUGGAUUCCUACACCAGUCGUAAUUGGAUAAAUCAUGUAUGACGCCAUGCUUGCGCCCUUAUUCCUGGAGUAUAUGCAGUUGUAUUCUUGGUCGUGUGUUGCUCAUUCAUGUGAGUCCAUUUCUCUUUUUUGAUUCACAUUUGUUGGCACGAAUUUCCCGUCCAUUUGGUCCUAUCAUUGGCAACAAUUUAAACCUGUAAACCAGGGAAAGAUAUGCCCAUCAUCAGUGCACUUUUUAUUCAGUUUGAUGAUAAAUGAGUGGUCAAUUCUCCCAUUAAAUUUGUUUUCUGUUUUAUGCAUAGAUGCAGUUGCGACAGUUACCUGCAUCAGCUAUUUUUUCUUUUGCAGUUGGUGCUUCCAUCCACACGGGUUAAACAAUUAAGCUGACUUAAUUUGUGGCCUAAUAUGUUUCUUUUGAAUUUCGAUACACAAUUAUGUAUAAUGGUUUAUUGUGCUCCCAUACAGGCUCAUAACUAUAGUUGCAUCAGAAAAUUAUUGCAACUAAAAUUUUGUUUUCUAUUCUUUCAGCAGUGCAUGCUAAUCUAGAAUUAUUAUCAAUGUAUGUAUGCAAAGAGUAUUAAAUUGUUAACUCCAAAUAGGCAAAACUUCCGAAAUAACUUGAAGGAUUUGGACUUGGAAGUAGUAGCAGUGAAGUGUUGAAUAUAUUUUUGUUCUUUGAUGUUGGAAGGAGGGUCAUAGCUGGGAUGAUAGCUUUUGCUGCUGGAAAGAGCGGUUGCUGCUGGAUGAACUAUGUUACUUUGCAAUUUUUUACACAUGUGUCUUCAUUUAUCCUUCAUUUUUUAUAGAUAAUAGCUGGCUAUCAAUUGUUGUUAUCCAAGAGCAUGGUUACCAAGAAUCCAUUACUAUACUGAUAUAGAAAUUGAGUCCUCUGAAAGAAAGAUAUUCUAUGAUGUUCAGAUUUUCCAUUGUGUACUUAUGACCUAUUAACGUGCUGCAAUAUAUACACACUGGGUUUUGUUAGUUUAGCUGGUAAGUAUGAAUCAACGGCCAUUAUUUCCUUUCUUGGUUAUGGAUGAAUUUGGAUUCUUUGUAGCACUACUCUUUAGUUUUUAACGCAGUGCUCAGAAAACACAAGAGCAAUAAGCCAACUUUAGUAAUAUAAUUUAGCUGUAAUUUCUACAUGGUAGAUGGUGUGAGUUUCAUAACAAGUGCAGUUCCACCUAAGUGUUCGUUGGUACCUGCGUGAUGCAUGCCAUGUCAAAUUAUAUAAUAUGUUGUAUGUAUUUCCUCCUACAUUUAAUGUUCUACAGCUAGAUCAGCUAUAUGAUAUAAGACGUGUUUUGUUUGAGAAAG
rnacentral:lncRNA from 1 species